GGAGGGCGCAAGCGUUGUUCGGAAUCACUGGGCGUAAAGCGCGUGUAGGCGGCCGGGCAAGUCGGAUGUGAAAUCCCGAGGCUCAACCUCGGAACUGCAUUCGAAACUGCUCGGCUCGAGUCCCGGAGAGGAUGGCGGAAUUCCCGGUGUAGGGGUGAAAUCCGUAGAUAUCGGGAGGAACACCAGUGGCGAAGGCGGCCAUCUGGACGGUGACUGACGCUGAGACGCGAAAGCGUGGGGAGCAAACAGGAUUAGAUACCCUGGUAGUCCACGCCGUAAACGGUGAGUGCUAGACGUCGCGGGUAUUGACCCCCGCGGUGUCGAAGCUAACGCGUUAAGCACUCCGCCUGGGGAGUACGGCCGCAAGGCUA
rnacentral:rRNA from 1 species